CCUACGGGGGGCAGCAGUAGGGAAUUUUCGGCAAUGGGCGGAACCCUGACCGAGUAACGCCGCGUGAACGAAGAAGGAUUUCGGUAUGUAAAGUUCUUUUAGUGGGGAGGAAAGAGAAAUUGUACGGUAACACAUGAAUAAGCUCCGGCUACCUACGUGCCAGCGGCCGCGGUAAUACGUAGGGAGCAAGCGUUAUCGGGAAUUAUUGGGCGUAAAGGGUUCGUAGAUGGUAGAUCUAAGUCUUUUGUAAAACUGCGAGGCUAAACAUAGUAGGGCAACAGAUACUGAUGAACUAGAGUACGGUAGAGGCAAGUGGAACUACAUGUGUAGCGGUAAAAUGCGUAAAUAUAUGUAAGAACACCGGUGGCGAAGGCGGCUUGCUGGGCCUGUACUGACAUUGAGGUACGAAAGCGUGGGGAGCAAACAGGAUUAGAUACCCUUGUAGUC
rnacentral:rRNA from 1 species